rnacentral:tRNA from 1 species
GACCAUCUUAGUUUAAAAAAAACAAAAAUUUGUGAAAUUUUAAAAGAAAGUAAUAUAAAUCUUUCAGGUAGUC